UACACUGCGACCACCUCAUGCGUCCCGACUACACUAAAUUUGCCGCGAGCUUUACCACGCAACACUGUGCCGCUCCGUGAAACUAGAGUCACUGGAUAUGUCAUAUGAAACACCUCUUAACACCUCUUUUACUUAAUAACAUUCCUUUCGUUAAUUAACCUAAACAUGAUCGACUUAACCUAAGUUCAUCGCAUCUUGCGCACAUCGUAUUUCACAGAAGUUUUUCAUAUCACAAUCUCGAUAGAAUAGUAUUCAGUAGCCGUCCAGAUUGAUUGAAACCUGGAAUACCUUUAACUACAUACCCAGACAGCACCGGACAUCUAAUGGAUGCACGGUCACAGACAUAAAGGUUGUCACUUUUUUUUUAAUGACUUUCGGGAC